rnacentral:piRNA from 1 species
UCAGAUCUGGUGAUGGAAUCUCAGU